rnacentral:tRNA from 1 species
AAGCAGCUCUACAAAAAUACACAGGACACUUUGACUGCUAUCAC